CUCCCAAACCCCUGUGAGACAUACCAAUUGUUGCCUCGGCGGAUCAGCCCGCUCCCGGUAAAACGGGACGGCCCGCCAGAGGACCCCUAAACUCUGUUUCUAUAUGUAACUUCUGAGUAAAACCAUAAAUAAAUCAAAACUUUCAACAACGGAUCUCUUGGUUCUGGCAUCGAUGAAGAACGCAGCAAAAUGCGAUAAGUAAUGUGAAUUGCAGAAUUCAGUGAAUCAUCGAAUCUUUGAACGCACAUUGCGCCCGCCAGUAUUCUGGCGGGCAUGCCUGUUCGAGCGUCAUUUCAACCCUCAAGCCCAGCUUGGUGUUGGGACUCGCGAGUUAAAUCGCGUUCCCCAAAUUGAUUGGCGGUCACGUCGAGCUUCCAUAGCGUAGUAGUAAAACCCUCGUUACUGGUAAUCGUCGCGGCCACGCCGUUAAACCCCAACUUCUGAAUGUUGACCUCGGAUCAGGUAGGAAUACCCGCUGAAC
rnacentral:rRNA from 3 species